CGGCGAUCUGAGGUCUUCUGAGAAGAAAUCAAGCGACACCGGCGACGAUCUGCCCAUCUUCAAUGGAGAGAAUCUGCAGAGCAACAUGAGAUCGAUCUACUACAGCCGUACCUUCCUGUCUAUUAUUGGAGGAGUAGUUGCUGGAAUAUGGGGAUUGACUGGCUUGAUGGGAUUUGUCUUUUACUUUUUAGUAAUGGCAGUUGCUUCUUUGGGACUUGCUGCUAAGGCAAAAUUUUCCGUUCAUAAGUACUUCGACGGCUGGAAUAGGAUUGCAAUUGAUGGGGUUUUCGGCGGGCUCAUGUCGUUCGUGCUCUUCUGGGCAUUUGCUUAUGACAUUGUCCAUAUUUUCUGAGGAUCAAGGG
rnacentral:misc_RNA from 1 species